rnacentral:rRNA from 1 species
AAGACGGGUAGCUGGUCUGAGAGGAUGAUCAGCCACACUGGAACUGAAACACGGUCCAGACUCCUACGGGAGGCAGCAGUGGGGAAUAUUGGACAAUGGGCGCAAGCCUGAUCCAGCGACGCCGCGUGAGUGAUGAAGGCCUUCGGGUUGUAAAGCUCUGUUGAGAGGGAAGAAAACGGGUGGCGCGAAUAGCUCCAUCCCUUGACGGUACCUCUUUAGAAAGCACCGGCUAACUCUGUGCCAGCAGCCGCGGUAAGACAGAGGGUGCAAACGUUGCUCGGAAUUACUGGGCGUAAAGCGCGUGUAGGCGGACCAGCAAGUCAGGCGUGAAAUCCCUAGGCUCAACCUAGGAACUGCACCUGAAACUGCUGGUCUGGAGUAGUGGAGAGG